rnacentral:rRNA from 1 species
UACAGGGGGGGCAAGCGUUGUUCGGAAUUACUGGGCGUAAAGGGUUCGUAGGUGGCCAACUAAGUCAGACGUGAAAUCCCUCAGCUUAACUGGGGAACUGCGUCUGAUACUGGAUGGCUUGAGUUUGGGAGAGGGAUGCGGAAUUCCAGGUGUAGCGGUGAAAUGCGUAGAUAUCUGGAGGAAUACCGGUGGCGAAGGCGGCAUCCUGGACCGACAUUGACGCUGAGGAGCGAAAGCUAGGGGAGCAAACGGG